rnacentral:rRNA from 1 species
AGUGAACGCUGGCGGUAGGCCUAACACAUGCAAGUCGAACGGCAGCACAGUAAGAGCUUGCUCUUACGGGUGGCGAGUGGCGGACGGGUGAGGAAUACAUCGGAAUCUACUUUUUCGUGGGGGAUAACGUAGGGAAACUUACGCUAAUACCGCAUACGACCUACGGGUGAAAGCAGGGGAUCUUCGGACCUUGCGCGAUUGAAUGAGCCGAUGUCGGAUUAGCUAGUUGGCGGGGUAAAGGCCCACCAAGGCGACGAUCCGUAGCUGGUCUGAGGGGAUGACCGGCAAAAUUGAACCGGGGAAACGGCCCGGAUCCUAAGGGAAGCCAGAGUGGGGGAUUAUUGGCCAAUGGGGGCAAGCCUGAUCCAGCCAUACCGGGUGGUGAAGAAGGCCUUCGGGUUGUAAAGCCCUUUUGUUGGGAAAGAAAAGCAGCAGGUUAAUACCCCGCUGUUCUGACGGUACCCAAAGAAUAAGCACCGGCUAACUUCGUG